GGUUGCGUAGUGUAGCGGUUAUCACUCCAGAUUCUGAUACGAACGUACUCGUUUGCUUCCUUCUGGCAACCCCGGUUCGAUUCCGGGCGCGACCU